rnacentral:rRNA from 1 species
UACGUAGGGAGCAAGCGUUGUCCGGAAUCAUUGGGCGUAAAGCGCGCGUAGGUGGCCACAUAAGUCCGUUGUGAAAGUCAAAGGCUCAACCUUUGAAAGCCGGUGGAUACUGCCGGGCUAGAGUCCGGAAGAGGCGAGUGGAAUUCCUGGUGUAGCGGUGGAAUGCGCAGAUAUCAGGAGGAACACCGAUGGCGAAGGCAGCUCGCUGGGACGGUACUGACGCUGAGGCGCGAAAGCGUGGGGAGCAAACAGG